rnacentral:rRNA from 1 species
UUGAACGCUGGCGGCAUGCUUUACACAUGCAAGUCGAACGGUAACAGGCCGCAAGGUGCUGACGAGUGGCGAACGGGUGAGUAAUGCAUCGGAACGUGCCCAGUCGUGGGGGAUAACGCAGCGAAAGCUGUGCUAAUACCGCAUACGAUCUAAGGAUGAAAGCGGGGGACCGAAAGGCCUCGCGCGAUUGGAGCGGCCGAUGUCAGAUUAGCUAGUUGGUGGGGUAAAGGCCCACCAAGGCAACGAUCUGUAGCUGGUCUGAGAGGACGACCAGCCACACUGGGACUGAGACACGGCCCAGACUCCUACGGGAGGCAGCAGGGGGGAAUUUUGGACAAUGGGCGCAAGCCUGAUCCAGCCAUGCCGCGUGAGUGAAGAAGGCCUUCGGGUUGUAAAGCUCUUUCAGACGGAAAGAAAUCGGGCGCGUGAAUAGCGUGCCUGGAUGACGGUACUGUCAGAAGAAGCACCGGCUAACUACGU